UUAUCCUGGUAAAAACAUACUUUUUCCCAUUUGUCUAAACAUCUUGAAUCCACUUUCAGCCAGUUGUACACAUCAUGAGGGGGAAAUGUUUUAAGGGAGAAUUUACUAGUUAUCUCAACAUUUCAUUGGCAAAGACUGACUUAAGAGAGGAAAUAUACAUUGAAAAAUUAAUUUUCUGACUUUGGCUUCGUCAAAAUCAAACUACGUUUCAUUUCCCAGUCACAUGCCCUCACCGUAACACCUGUUUGGCGGUCUCUGUGAUGCAGUGAGACACACCCGGAAACAGCCUCACUGAGUGCUCAUCCUUCUGUGAUGCGGUGAGACACACCCGGAAAUAGCCUCACUGAGUGCUCAUCCUUCUGUGAUGCGGUGAGACGCACCCGGAAACAGCCUCACUGAGUGCUCAUCCUUCUGUGAUGCGGUGAGAACUCACCGGAAACAGUCUCGCUGAGUGCUCAUCCUUCUGUGAUGCGGUGAAACACACCGGAAACAGCCUCACUGAGUGCUCAUCCUUCUGUGAUGCGGUGAGAUGCAGCCGGAAACAGCCUCACUGAGUGCUCAUCCUUCUGUGAUGCGGUGAGACUCACCCGGAAACAGCCUCGCCGAGUGCUCAUCCUUUUGUGAUGCGGUGAGACGCACCCGGAAACAGCCUCAUGCGGUGAGACGCACCCGGAAACAGCCUCCCCGAGUGCUCA